CGAGAGAGUGAAGGAGAGGGAACCCGGGGACACACGCGGAGCCCGUAGAGGGCGCACUGCGCGCUGCGCCUGGGGUUGUUUUCUCAGGCUCUCGCGCUUUUCCAAGCGAUACAGCAGGUAACCGGAUCCCAGCGUGUGGGCGCAGCCACCAAAGCCAGACAUAGACCCCAAAUUCCCGGCGCCGCUGCCAGGGGUUCCGAGCGGUGGUGUCAUUUGGUUGCCUAAAUGGAGACUGGAUUUGAGGGGAGCAAGAUUAGAGGCAGAUUAUUGUAUUAAUGCAGAGACACAACGAUUCAGCAUGUAUCUGCUCGAACAGAGUUGUACGUAGAACAGCCCUCAGGCCUUCCACCCUGGAAUGACAGCUGUGCGAGGCAACUGCAGUUUCCUGUUGCAAUGGAGUCUCCGUGUUGCUGUGCUGAAGGUGGAGAAAUCUUUGGGUGGUGCCACGUUCCCUGUGGAUGCUCCAACAACACGUGCUGGCUGACCGACUGAUUGACUAACUUCGUUAAUACUCUCAUUGAUUCAUGUAUAGAUGCAAGUAUAGUUAUACAAUAAGAGAGUGAGUAAACUAUAUACAAGCAACAUUUUUUUCAUGAGUGGAACCACAGGCACCACGUAAAAAAUGAUGGCCAAUUCGGCUUCAUGAUUCUACUUGUUGGGAAGAGCGGGGCUGGCGUUCCAAGACCAACAGGGCUCUCUUCAGCAGAGCUGGUGCCACACCCUCCAGAAACAUGUUCCUGGCAAUGACAAACCUUAGGAAGGGGUACUUGCUUGUUUUGUUUACAUCGGAGACAAGAUGGUUUAGUACUCCACCUCUAUGCGUUCUGUUUAACUAACGAUUAGACUCUCAGAAUUUUAUUUUGAGAGAAAAUAGUUCACAAAACCAUUUGCACCUAAACUGAAUGAAUUCUACAAGCUCAUAAAAUCUGGCUACUUUGAAGAAUCAGAAAGUUGUUUGAGUACAAAUUCAUGCCAUUCCUUAAGGGAUGCAGACCCUACCAUAGAAAAGAAUCGUCUUAGUCUCUUUGUGUAGGAUAAAGAAGAGGAAAGGAUGAUCCACCUUGAAGGUUUCAGGAUUUUCCACCUCUCCUGUUUGGUUGGUCCCUCUGAAGGAGAUGGCAUUAACCAGCACCAACUGGUCAGAGGAGGCGAGGCUGUUGGGUGACAAGAGGUCCUUGAUCUCACCUUUGGGAAGAGAAACAUCGUCAGAUCGCACUGGAUCAGCCAUGGAACGGGAAUGGUUUUCACUGGUCUUGCUUUUGUUUUUAACGCAUCUUUGACCUGGCAUGACUAAUUACCACUCAAUAUCUUCAGAUGAGCCAAAAAGAUGUUUGAGUAAAUAUGUAAAGCAUUCAUAAUUCUUUAGUAAAUGAAGCAUGUAAGAUGGAAAAGAAAACAAUGUGAGUGUGUAGCCUAUGUCUGCCUACUUUACGGCUACAUACAAAAUUGUUGAUGGACUUUAUUUCCCUUACUCUAUUAUGUCUUUGUUUCUCUACCUUUGGUAAAAUUCUUGCACUAAUAAUAAUUUGGAUUCCAGAGGGAGCAAAAAUGUAGAUGAAAAGACAACGAAAAUCUUCUGAGAAAAUAUCACGUUUUCUCCCAUGUAUAUUUACGUCUACAAUCUUUGAGUGGGGAGGGGUUUUCUUCAACAAUUCUGGACCCUAGAAGCUAUCAAAGAAAAAAAUAAUCAGAUUUGACUCUGAAAAUUUUAAAUAUACGUGGCAGAAAAGAACUUAAAAUUAAUCUAAAAAUAACAGACUUGUAAACAUAUUUGCUAGACAUAGGACAAAUGUUAAUAUCUAUAAUAUGCACUGAGCUCUGACAAACUAACAAGAAGAGAAUUAAUGAAUAGGCAGUGCACAGAAGACUAACAAAGUAUUUACAACAGUUGUGCAAAUUAUCUAUAAGGAUGUUGAUUAAAAAUCUAUACAUCUAUAAAUAUGUUUAUUUCAGUGUUAUUAAUACUGCCAAAAACAUUUUAAUAAAUUAUGAUCCAUCUAAACCAUAAAUUUUUAUGCAGCCAUUUUAAAAAAAUGAACUAGCUCUCUGCCAGUUGAUAUGAUGAAAUCUCCAUGAGUGAGAAGUUACCUGAUUUCAUCCGCAUCUUCCACAUGAGGCAGGAUCGCCUACUAUUGAGAGUAUGGAACCUGGAGCUCGAGUUCAGGAUCUACCACUUACUGGACAUAUUGUUCCACAAUCCAGGGACUCUGCAUGAAUGGCGCCCCCUGGUGUUGCUUCAGUGGUCAUCAUCAUCACCAUCAUCAUCAUCAUCAUUACCCUCAAAAGAAAGCACAGUUGUUGAACCUGGAAUUCUGAGCAUUUGGCUCAGUCUUUGGAUGUUGGAAGAGAAAAUCAUUAAGAAGAUGAAAAUAUGAGGAUUUUUCUCCAUUGUGUAUGGGAAGCGUCAAGGAAAGAAUUUGAAUUUUUUAGUUCUCUUCUGAUUCAGGCUGCUUGGCUGUCAGAAGAGACAAAGAAUUAUUUCCACUCCAGACUCUCUCUGCAUGACUUAUGCCCUCAGCACAGGGAGCCAUGCUACCUCUCUGGUUGCAAAACCUGAAGCAUGCAGAAGUGUGGAUGGAGCUCCAGCCAGCAGGCUGUCUCUCGUUUUGAAGGAAGGGAUAGAUGGAGGAGUGACUCUCUCCACACUCACCCAAGACAACUUGUAAAGAUUCCCAUGGCUUUCUCCUUCUCAUCUCUUUCUCCCUCUCCACAAGCAAGCAUUUAUUGAGUAUCUACUAUGGGUUAAACACUUGGGACCUAUUCUCCCAAUGCAUGGGAGUGGAAUAAAAUUGAACACAAGAGCUCUUACAUUUAAUUUUUCCUGAGUUUAAAUAUAUUAUUAAAUUCAGAGCUUGACUCCUGCUUUUCCUAUUCAUUUCCAGUUUAAAUCUUGGCUGGGGAGCAGCUUUGUUCCACUGGUUAACCAUUCCCUCUAUCGUAAACGGAGAGAUGAUUAAAGCACGUUGAAAGAUGCCUACUAGGAAAUACUUUUUCCAGUCAGCCAAAAUUAUUGGUUGAGUUAAAAUGCUGGUGAUCUCUUUGGAAAGAGUUGGGCAUCUAUGAAAUCUCCAUAACAAGACAGUGUUGGAAAUUGUGACUCGAUUGUCUUCUAGACGUGGCUGAAAGUGUGUUUGUGACAUACCUGUU